UUAAGUUCAGCGGGUAUCCCUACCUGAUCCGAGGUCAACCAUUGAAAAAUUGGGGGUUAUGGCCAGUAUCCACCAGACGUCUAUAGCGAGAGAUUUACUACGCUCAGAGCCAGGUGGCACCGCCACUGUUUUUAAGGCACGGGCUGACGCCCGAGGCCCAAUACCAAGCAGAGCUUGAGGGUUGAAAUGACGCUCGAACA
rnacentral:misc_RNA from 1 species